rnacentral:rRNA from 1 species
CCCUUAGAUGUUCUGGGCCGCACGCGCGCUACACUGACGAAUGCAACGAGCUUAUAACCUUGGCCGAAAGGUCUGGGUAAUCUCCAAAUUUCGUCGUGAUGGGGAUAGAUUAUUGCAAUUAUUAAUCUUCAACGAGGAAUGCCUAGUAAGCGCAAGUCAUCAGCCUGCGUUGAUUACGUCCCUGCCCUUUGUACACACCGCCCGUCGCUCCUACCGAUUGAAUGGUCCGGUGAAGCGUUCGGACCGUGGCCUUUGGACGGUUCGCCGUCUGUUGGCUGCGGGAAGUUCGUUAAACCUUAUCAUUUAGAGGAAGGAGAANUCGUAACA